CAAAACAAAACGUGGGCUGACGAGAUGGCUCAGCAGGUCAAGGCGCUUGCUUUCAAGCCUGAUGACCUGGUUCAGCUCCUGGCACCCACAUAGUGAAAGGGGACAAUUGGCUCCUGUAGUAGCACUGUGACCUCUUCGUAAGUACUUUGGUUCACACACACAGGAAGUACAUAAAAGUAAUUUAAAAAACACACCCAUUUGUAAGUGACUUGGAAUAUAUAUAUAAGACGAAAACGAUAUGCAAAGUGUUACUAUACUUAUUGCUUAUUGACCAGAGAAAGAUGUCAGUAUGUUCAGUGCAGACAGUUUUGUAGGAAGUAUUUCUAGCAAAGCGUGGUGGCACAUUCCUGUGUCUUAACAUUCUGGAAGCUGAUUCAGGAAUGGGAGUCAGGCUAGGCUGGGUUACAUAGUCAGACCCUGUCUCCAAAUAAAGAAAUAAAAAUUGGGGCCAGAGAGAUGGUUCAAUGGCAUGUAUUGAAGAAGCAUGUAUUGCUGCUCUUGCAGAGACCCAACUUCAGUUCCCAGCACCCCACUGAGGGAUGCACCAUCACCUAUAAGGAAGGGGAUCUGACAUCCUGGCCUCUGUGGGCGUCUGCACUCAUCCACACAAACCGAAACAGGUCCCGAAUCUAACUUGUCCUCCUUAGGGAAGAUGUCCACUAUUGCCAGGAGGACAGCUACAGGCGGGGGGUCAACUCCAGCGUUGCUCCUUCAUAGAGACUGAAGAAGCGAGGCUCCUACUCUUGAAUCCCAGAAAUCCUACACCAGGAUGAAAGAGAUACGAGAAUCUUCUGGAAACUUGCUGGCUCACUGGUCAGCUAACCUGGAAUAGGGGAAGAGCAGCAGCAGAAAUAAGAUACCCUGCCUCAAAAUCCUGGGUGGAAGGAGCGAACCUCUAGCCUUCCAGAAGUCCAUGACACAGACAACUAAAUAAAAAUUAA